AGCAUGUGAUAAAAUCCAACCUCUAUUCAAGAUGAAACUACCAGCUGCCUAUAUCACACCCGAAAGGAAUCUGGGUUCACUGUGAUAAUGGGCCUAAGGCUUCUGGCCUCUUCCGAUGAACAAACACUCUACAUGU
ensembl:snoRNA small nucleolar RNA SNORA11